AGCUUUGCGCAGUGGCAGUGUCAUAGCCAAUGAGGUUUCUCCGAGGCGCGAUUAUUGCUAAUAGAAAUGGUUUAGCUUCCAUUUCAGAAGAAUGCCCGUAUGACAAUCUGAAAACAUUAAAUUUCUCAGAGCAAUUAAUAUUG
ensembl:snRNA LOC120093498 U4 spliceosomal RNA